GAUGAACGCUAGCGGGAGGCUUAACACAUGCAAGUCGUGGGGCAGCACGGUCCCGAGUAAUCGGGACUGGUGGCGACCGGCGCACGGGUGAGUAACGCGUAUGCAGCCUGCCCUGUACAGGGGGAUGGCCCGGAGAAACUCGGAUUAAUACCCCAUAAAGAUAUCGAGAGGCAUCUUUUGAUAUUUAAAGCUUCGGCGGUACGGGAUGGGCAUGCGUGACAGUUAGCUAGUUGGUAGGGUAACAGCCUACCAAGGCUUCGAUGUCUAGGGGUCCUGAGAGGGUGAUCCCCCACACUGGUACUGAGACACGGACCAGACUCCUACGGGAGGCAGCAGUGAGGAAUAUUGGUCAAUGGGCGACAGCCUGAACCAGCCAUCCCGCGUGAAGGAAGAAGGCGCUAUGCGUUGUAAACUUCUUUUCCAGAGGAAUAAAAUUUCGUACGUGUACGGAACUGAAGGUACCCUGGGAAUAAGCAUCGGCUAACUCCGUGCCAGCCGCCGCAGUAAAAC
rnacentral:rRNA from 1 species